AACAUCAGUAGUGGUUAAUACUAUCUUUUGAUAAUAUUAAUUUCAUUAUACCAUAGAAACCUAAAGAUUGAAUAAUUUUUGUUCUUCAUGUUAUACAACUUGGGCAAUGAAGAGCUUGCUCUUUUGCGUCCAUUUUGUUUAAUAAGUUAAUACUGGAACAAGAAUAAUUUAAAUCAUUUCAUACAACCCAUAGCUGAAUGAAUUUUGACCACUCCUAAACAAAGUAGCUACAAUUUUCAUUUCGUUUCCGGUUUCUUAGAUCAAAUAUUAUUCUGAAGAAGUUCCCUGAUUACAAAUCAGGGAAAGGUUCGCGUUUUUAGAGAAUUGCAUAAUGCAAUUUGAGAGUUUAAAUUCCGGUGCGACUCUUCUUCAUGAUAAGACAGUU
rnacentral:snoRNA from 19 species